rnacentral:tRNA from 1 species
AAGGUUUUAAGUUAAAUAAACUAAUAAUCUUCAAAAUUAUUUAUAAAGAAACCCAAUUAUUCUUUAAGCCUUA